rnacentral:rRNA from 1 species
GAUGAACGCUGGCGGCGUGCCUAAUACAUGCAAGUCGAGCGAACGGACGAGAAGCUUGCUUCUCUGAUGUUAGCGGCGGACGGGUAAGUAACACGUGGAUAACCUACCUAUAAGACUGGGAUAACUUCGGGAAACCGGAGCUAAUACCGGAUAAUAUUUUGAACCGCAUGGUUCAAAAGUGAAAGACGGUCUUGCUGUCACUUAUAGAUGGAUCCGCGCUGCAUUAGCUAGUUGGUAAGGUAACGGCUUACCAAGGCAACGAUGCAUAGCCGACCUGAGAGGGUGAUCGGCCCCACUGGAACUGGGACACGGUCCAGACUCCUACGGGAGGCAGCAGUAGGGAAUCUUCCGCAAUGGGCGAGAGCCUGACGGAGCAACGCCGCGUGAGUGAUGAAGGUCUUCGGAUCGUAAAACUCUGUUAUUAGGGAAGAACAUAUGUGUAAGUAACUGUGCACAUCUUGACGGUACCUAAUCAGAAAGCCACGGCUAACUACGUG